UGUUCUGUAGCUUAGUUGAUUAAAGCGCCGGACUAGCGAUAACGGAGUCGUGGGUUCGAAUCCCACCAAAACAA
rfam:Aedes albopictus isolate Foshan contig108623, whole genome shotgun sequence.